rnacentral:lncRNA from 1 species
CGGAUUGGUCUGCCAUAUUGAAGGCGUCUGUCUAUUUGAGGUCACCAGUCUGUGUUGGUAAUCCUGUCGAACGCAGAUUUAAAAAAAAUAUAUUGUGUAGUGGAGCUGCAUAAGUGUUGCUCUCCAUUUUCUGGAGGAUCAAGUUUUGAAAUCAGUGGAAUUAGAGUAUGAUAGCUAAAGAGAUGAGGAAAACACUAGUCUCCGGAAUACAUCUUCAAACUUAGGGCAACCGUGGUAUGGCAUUCAUGACUGGAAUGCAUGUUGAUGUAUGCAGGACCUGAGCCCUAGGACCAUGCCUCAGGACUACCUGACAUGAUGACUCCUUGCUGUCCCCAGUCCACCUGGCCGUGUUGCUGCUCCAGUUUCAACUGUUCUGCCUGCGGCUAUGGAACCCUGACCUGUUCACCAGACGUGCUACGUGUCCCAGACCUGCUGUUUUCAACUCUCUAGAGACAGCAGGAGCGGUAGAGAUACUCUCAAUGAUCGGCUAUGAAAAGCCAACUGACAUUUACUCUUGAGGUGCUGAUUUGUUACACCCUCGACAACUACUGUGAUUAUUAUUAUUUGACCAUGCUGGUCAUUUAUGAACAUUUGAACAUCUUGGCCAUGUUCUGUUAUAAUCUCCACCCGGCACAGCCAGAAGAGAACUGGCCACCCCUCAUAGCCUGGUUCCUCUCUAGGUUUCUUCCUAGGUUUUGACCUUUCUAGGGAGUUUUUCCUAGCCACCGUGCUUCUACACCUGCAUUGCUUACUGUUUGGGGUUUUAGGCUGGGUUUCUGUACAGCACUUUGAGGUAUCAGCUGAUGUAAGUCGCUCUGGAUAAGAGCGUCUGCUAAAUGACUUAAAUGUAAAUGUAAAUGUAAAUGUAAGAAGGGCUAUAUAAAUAAAUUUGAUCUGAUUUGAUUUUAAUUAAAUGAGGAUUAGCAUUUUGCAACCAGGAGCAAACAUUUAUUGGGAACAGAAAUAUUUAAAGUGGAUGCUAUGAAAUUCAAUUUGACAUAUGGUAUGGCCACUCCUCCCCAUUUCUGUAAUCUGUCACAUUUAAAAUACAUUAGAUAUAAUUAUAUAGCCUGAUAUACAGCACCCCCUUUUGCCCUCAGAACAGCCUCACAAGGUGUCGAAAGCGUUCCACAGGGAUGUUGGCCCAUAUUGACUCCAAUGCGUCCCACAGUGUAAAGUUGGCUGGAAGUCCUUUUGGUGGUGGACCAUUUUUGAUACACACGGGAAACUGUUUAACGUAAAAAACAGUGCAAUAGUUGUUGACACACUCAAACCAGUGCGCCUGGCACCUACUACCAUACGCUGUUCAAAGGCACUUAAAAAUGUUGUCUUGCCCAUUCAUACUCUGAAUGGCGCACAUACACAAUACAUGUCUUAAUUGUCUCAAGGCUAAAAACGAUUCCCUGUCUCAUCUACACUGAUUGCAGUGGAUUUAAAAAGUGAUAUCAUUAAGGGAUCAUAGCUUUCAUCUGGAUUCACCUGGUCCAGUCUAUGUCAUGAAAGAGCAGGUGUUCCUAAUGUUUUGUACACUCAGUGUACAUUAUAUGGACGGACUUCAGAUAAGGCCUAUCUGUAAAAGGUGGUCAGGGGCAAUGGUCGGAUAAAUCAGUGGCAUAGCCAAGAAUUCGUUGGUGGGUGGGCCUGCAGAAACUUGGGAGGGGGAAAGCGACUAACUUCCAGAUAUUUUACAGAUUUUACCGGGGGCAAAGAGAAAAAUUUGCAAUUUUAUAGCUAAUCUCAUGCUAUUUUUACAAUUUUUGCCAUGAUGCUGAGAGAAAAUGUUACUGUUUUAAAGCAAAUUUCCUGCAAUUCUACAUAUUUUGCCAUGGGCAGAGAGAUAAAUGUGCAGUUUUAUAGCUUAUCGCAUGCUAUUCUACUGUCAUGCCCUGAUAUGAUUCACCAGUCCUUGUGCUUGCCUCCAUCCCCCUCCAGGUGUCGCUCAUCUUCCCCAUUAUCCCCUGGGUACUUAUACAUGUGUUCUCUGUUUGUCUGUUGCCAGUUCGUCUUGUUCGUCAAGUUAACCAAUGUUUUGUCUCAGCUUCUGCUUUUCCCCAGUCUCUCGUUUUCUCGCCCUCCUGGUUUUGACCCUUGUCUUUAACCCUUUUGACCCUUUGCCCCUACUCUGGAUUACCGACCUCUGCCUGACCUGACCCUGAGCCUGCCUGCCAUCCUGUACCCUUGCCCCACUACUCUGGAUGAUCGACCUCUGCCUGUCUUGACCUGUUGUUUGCCUGCCCCUGUUGCUGUGAUAAACAUUGUUACUUCAACGCAGUCUGCAUUUUGGUCUUACCUGAAACGUGAUAUCUGAGAGAAAAUGCUGCAUUUUUAAAGUGAAUUAAAGCUCAAAUAUAGGUGUGUUGACUGUGAUAAAG